AACGAACGCUGGCGGCAGGCCUUAUACAUGCAAGUCGAGCGCCCUCUUCGGAGGGAGCGGCGGACGGGUGAGUAACGCGUGGGAAUAUGCCUUUUGGUACGGAACAGCCCAGGGAAACUUGGAUUAAUACCGUAUGUGCCCUUCGGGGGAAAGAUUUAUCGCCAAGAGAUUGGCCCGCGUCUGAUUAGGUAGUUGGUGGGGUAAUGGCCUACCAAGCCGACGAUCAGUAGCUGGUUUGAGAGGAUGAUCAGCCACACUGGGACUGAGACACGGCCCAGACUCCUACGGGAGGCAGCAGUAGGGAAUCUUGGACAAUGGGCGCAAGCCUGAUCCAGCCAUGCCGCGUGAGCGAUGAAGGCCUUAGGGUUGUAAAGCUCUUUCAUCGGUGAAGAUAAUGACGGUAGCCGAAGAAGAAGUCCCGGCUAACUCCGUGCCAGCAGCCGCGGUAAU
rnacentral:rRNA from 1 species